GUGGUAGCGGGUCAAGAUNUGUAGAGGAUCUGAAAGGAAUUACCGGGUGGCGAAGGGCGGCCCCCUGGACAGUAUACUUGACACUCAGAUGCCGAAAGCGUUGGGGAGCCAACAGGAUUUAGAUACCCCUGGUAGUCCACGCCGUNAAACGAUGUCUACUUGGAGGUUGUGGGCCUUGAGCCCGUGGCUUUCGGAGCUAACGCGUUAAGUAGACCGCCUGGGGAGUACGGUCGCAAGAUUAAAACUCAAAUGAAUUGACGGGGGCCCGCACAAGCGGUGGAGCAUGUGGUUUAAUUCGAUGCAACGCGAAGAACCUUACCUACUCUUGACAUCUACAGAAGCCAGCGGAGACGCAGGUGUGCCUUCGGGAACUGUAAGACAGGUGCUGCAUGGCUGUCGUCAGCUCGUGUUGUGAAAUGUUGGGUUAAGUCCCGCAACGAGCGCAACCCUUAUCCUUGUUUGCCAGCACUUCGGGUGGGAACUCCAGGGAGACUGCCGGUGAUAAACCGGAGGAAGGUGGGGACGACGUCAAGUCAUCAUGGCCCUUACGAGUAGGGCUACACACGUGCUACAAUGGCGCAUACAGAGGGCGGCCAACUUGCGAAAGUGAGCGAAUCCCAAAAAGUGCGUCGUAGUCCGGAUUGGAGUCUGCAACUCGACUCCAUGAAGUCGGAAUCGCUAGUAAUCGUGGAUCAGAAUGCCACGGUGAAUACGUUCCCGGGCCUUGUACACACCGCCCGUCACACCAUGGGAGUGGGCUGCAAAAGAAGUGGGUAGUUUAACCUUCGGGAGGACGCUCACCACUUUGUGGUUCAUGACUGGGGUGAAGUCGUAACAAGGUAACCG
rnacentral:rRNA from 1 species